GGUGAAGUGGGGCUAAUAAAACUUAACCACCUAGCUUGUGGGAAAAUGAUUCUGUGCUCAGUGAGGAAGUGCUUUCAAGACCAUCUGGCGCCGAGUGGUGGAGUGGUGCUGUCGUAGAAGCUGCGAUGGUGUGUUAAUUCUCUCUCCCUCUUUCUACCCUGGUGAAACUGAGAUCCUUGAGGGUAGGACCUAUGUCUGCCUUAUGUAUCCUGAACCUACCCGAGAUGAGAGAGACGGAGGAACGCCACAUCACUCAAGAAAUGAGUUCAGCUGGUCUCCCAGAGCAGAAGUGGAAAAGGCUAUGUGGUGGGGCAGAAGGGAGUGAGUUCACCACGGGAGACAAGACUCGGAGUUCAAGUCUCUGGUUGGCUCAUGAGCUGGAUUAGGGGAUUAUGCACUCUUAACUUCGUAAUUGCAUGGGUGAAGGUCACGAAUCCUGGCACAGUUCUCAAUGGGGUCUGAGACAGAUUGCAUCAAGUCCCUGAUGGGUGCAGAGUCGCAUGGCAGGUAAAUGUGUAUGUGCAUACAAGUUGGCAAGCAUUUUCAACAGUUUGUUUCCUAUCUCCAUUUCAUAGGAACUGAGACUGAGGCUCAGACAUUAAAUCGCUUUUCCAAGGCCUCAAAAUUAGCAGAAGAAAUAACAUUUAAACUCAGAUAUCUAAUCCCAUAUCUAUCCACUCAUUCACAAGGGCUAAAAGUUGAAGUGUGUACUGUGGAAGCACAGAGAAAGCAGUAAUUAAUUCCAGUUAAGGGGGGGAGGCUUCAUACAGGAGGCAGCCCGUGGGCUGAGCCUUGCGGUAUGAGGAGACUUUCCCCAGGGGGGAGCAGAGGAGGGCGCCCUGCAGGCGACGAGCAGCAAGGCUGGCACACAGAAGGCCUGCAGGGUCUCAGGGAGAAAGCGCAGCGUGGCCAUCUGUCACGGGGCUGGUGAUGUCCUGGCCCUUUUCUACGGAGAAAGUAAAAGUUUGCACUCACUCAUCAUGAUUUUAAUCAGCAAGGAUGCAGCCCCUGGAGCUGACCGUGUGCUGCCACAGCCAAGGUCGUGGUUCAUCGCAGCAACACGUGCCGUCGUUUUGCAGAUGAGGAAACAGGACUCAGCCAGCUGAAGAAAUUUGCCUAUUGUCACUCAGGAAUGGUAGAGCCAGAAAUUGGCUUCCAAAUUUCAAGACCCAUGCUGCCCUUUCUACUAGACUGUCUUUAAACAAUCGCCGUGAGUACCUGUAGCCGGGCAGACUUUGGCCCUAGAGCUCUGGGCUGAAUCUGCUAGCUCACCUUCAGGUCAGGACGCCCUCUCUCACAGAGCGUGUCUGCCCAAUGAUGGUGAAUUCUAGAAUCUUCACUGGAGGAUGAUGGCCUGGAGGUGGACAGGAGUGGGCCAGGGAGCUGACAUGGUCUCAUCCAUUUGUCCUUGCUGGAAGGGAGUUGAAGAGCUCCUUUCUUCCCUUUUCCUCCCCGAACCAAAUAAAUAGCACUCUCCCUCCCUCUGAGAAGCGUUCAUGGAUUCCUGUAAGGUAGAGAGGUGAGAGCCACUUAGGGGCAGGCAAUUGCCUUGGGAAGAUUCUGUGUAGCUCGUGUAUUUACAGUCACGCUAUGUGACCACUGGAAUCACUUCUCUGAACCUCAAUUUCCUUAUCUAUAAAACCAGCAGGGGGAGGGGUGGGAUAAUGCCUCCAGGAAAGCAAUAUAGCCAGAGGGCAAGAGCAUGGGCUCUGAAGAUGGAUUACCAGUGUCCAAAUCUUGCUUCUGCUGGCUCUGAGACCUUGGCCAGUUUACUUAACCUCAUUGUGCCUCAGUUUCCUUUAUUGUAAAAGGGGGAUGAAAAUGAUAUUACUUACACACUGGGGCUGCUGUGAGGAUUACAUAAUUAAUACAUAUAAAGCACUUA
ensembl:lncRNA